UACGGAGGGAGCUAGCGUUGUUCGGAAUUACUGGGCGUAAAGCGCACGUAGGCGGCUUUGUAAGUUAGAGGUGAAAGCCCGGGGCUCAACCCCGGAAUUGCCUUUAAGACUGCAUCGCUUGAAUCCGGGAGAGGUGAGUGGAAUUCCGAGUGUAGAGGUGAAAUUCGUAGAUAUUCGGAAGAACACCAGUGGCGAAGGCGGCUCACUGGACCGGUAUUGACGCUGAGGCGCGAAAGCCAGGGGAGCAAACGGG
rnacentral:rRNA from 1 species